rnacentral:tRNA from 1 species
GGGGCAUUAACUCAGUUGGUAGAGUGCUUGCAUGGCAUGCAAGAUGUCAGCGGUUCAAAUCCGCUAUGCUCCA